UCCUCUAUAGUAUAAGGAGUACAGUUGGUUUCGAACCAAAAAGUCUGUAGGAGGUA
rnacentral:tRNA from 1 species